rnacentral:rRNA from 1 species
CGCGAACCGGCGAGUCAUGAUUACGUGCAAGGUUAAGGUGGAAAAACCGGAGCCGCAGCGAAAGCGAGUCUGAAAUGGGCGUAUGAAGUACGUAGUUAUGUACCCGAAACCAGGUGACCUACCCAUGUCCAGGGUGAAGGUGCGGUAAAACGCACUGGAGGCCCGAACCCGUGUCUGUUAAAAAAGGCUGGGAUGAGGUGUGGGUAGCGGUGAAAUUCCAAACGAACUUGGAGAUAGCUGGUUCUCUCCGAAAUCUCUUUAGGGGGAGCCUCGGAAUCGAGAAUCUUGGAGGUAGAGCACUGUUUGGACGAGGGGCCCGUCAUGGGUUACCGACUUCAGAUAAACUCCGAAUGCCAAUGAUUUAUGUCCGGGAGUCAGACGAUGAGUGAUAAGAUCCACCGUCGAAAGGGGAACAGCCCAGAUCACCAGUUAAGGUCCCUAAAUAUAUGCUAAGUGGAAAAGGAUGUGGAGUUGCAUAGACAACUAGGAUGUUGGCUCAGAAGCAGCCAUCAUUUAAAGAGUGCGUAAUAGCUCACUAGUCGAGUGAUUCUGCGCCGAAAAUGUACCGGGGCUAAGCAUAUUACCGAAACUGUGGAUGUGUCCUUUUGGACACGUGAUAGGAGAGCGUUCUAAGGGCGACGAAGUUAGACCGUGAGGACUAGUGGAGCGCUUAGAAGUGAGAAUGCCGGUAUGAGUAGCGAAAGACGGGUGAGAAUCCUGUCCACCGAAUGACUAAGGUUUCCUGGGGAAGGCUCGUCCUCCCAGGGUAAGUCGGGACCUAAGGCGAGGCCGAGAGGCGUAGUCGAUGGAUAACAGGUUGAGAUUCCUGUACCAGUUAAAUGCGUUUGAAUGAUGGAGGGACGCAGGAGGCUAAGCAAACCAGACGAUUGGAAGUGUCUGGCCAAGCAGUAAGUCAGGUUUAGAGUCAAAUGCUUUAAGCCGGGUUGACAAGCUGUGAUGGGGAGCGAAAUUAAAGUAGCGAAGUUGCCGAUGUCACACUGCCGAGAAAAGCUUCUAGUGAGUAUUUAACUGCCCGUACCGCAAACCGACACAGGUAGUCGAGGAGAGAAUCCUAAGGUGAGCGAGUGAACUCUCGUUAAGGAACUCGGCAAAAUGACCCCGUAACUUCGGGAGAAGGGGUGCUGGUCGCAAGACCAGCCGCAGUGAAAAGGCCCAGGCGACUGUUUAUCAAAAACACAGGUUUCUGCAAAAUCGUAAGAUGAAGUAUAGGGGCUGACGCCUGCCCGGUGCUGGAAGGUUAAAAGGAAGAGUUAGCUUCGGCGAAGCCCUGAAUUGAAGCCCCAGUAAACGGCGGCCGUAACUAUAACGGUCCUAAG